CCUACGGGCGGCUGCAGUGGGGAAUAUUGGACAAUGGGGGCAACCCUGAUCCAGCCAUGCCGCGUGUGUGAAGAAGGCCCUCGGGUUGUAAAGCACUUUCAGUGAGGAAGAACGCCUGGUGGUUAAUACCCAUCAGGAAAGACAUCACUCACAGAAGAAGCACCGGCUAACUCCGUGCCAGCAGCCGCGGUAAUACGGAGGGUGCGAGCGUUAAUCGGAAUUACUGGGCGUAAAGCGCGCGUAGGUGGCUUGAUAAGCCGGUUGUGAAAGCCCCGGGCUCAACCUGGGAACGGCAUCCGGAACUGUCAGGCUAGAGUGCAGGAGAGGAAGGUAGAAUUCCCGGUGUAGCGGUGAAAUGCGUAGAGAUCGGGAGGAAUACCAGUGGCGAAGGCGGCCUUCUGGACUGACACUGACGCUGAGGUGCGAAAGCGUGGGUAGCAAACAGGAUUAGAUACCCGUGUAGUC
rnacentral:rRNA from 1 species